CUGAGCAUUUGCACCUUUUGGUGACAAGAGGAGUCUCAGAUUUGAAUGUUGGGAAGAUCCCCCCCCAGGAGGCACGAGGGAGGGCCUUCCCAGGAGAGUGGAGUCCCCAGAGAGGAGGCUGGUUGGGAGGAGGCCCAGGGAGGAGGCUGUCUUAGUUGUGAGCUGGGGCUGGCGAAGACAGUCAAUCUCACAGGUAACAAGGAAGUGAAGCUUGAACAAAGCCUCCAAGGAGGGGCCAGUUAUAGAGCCGAGGAGAAGAGGAAGAACACUCAGAGCUGGCUGGGAGCCCAGUGUCCUUUUCCCGGACCUGGCCAGGAAGCUGUGAGGCUGGGUGCAGGGACCCUGGAGAGGGACCUGAGUUGGAGCCAGGGCCACAAGAAUGGAGAGGAAAUUAACAACGCAAAGGGAUUCAGGCAGGUUCACUUGGACUUGAGAACCGAAAGGGAUUUGCAGGAGAGAGAGAAGCAAGGAUGAGAGUAUUGUUUUUCCAUUGAUGGUGGAAAGAAUCUCCACAACCUAUAUGGUUGACAACCACCGCAUUUUUUUAAAUUUUUUAAUUUUUCCGAUAUAUGAAAUUUAUUGUCAAAUUGGUUUCCAUACACCACCCAGUGCUCAUCCCCAAAGGUGCCCUCCUCAAUACCCAUCCCCCACCCUCCCCUCCCUCCCACCCCCCAUCAACCCUCAGUUUGUUCUCAGUUUUUAAGAGUCUCUUAUGCUUUGGCUCUCUCCCACUCUAACCUCUUUUUUUUUUUUCCUUCCCCUCCCCCAUGGGUUCCUGUUAAGUUUCUCAGGAUCCACAUAAGAGUGAAACCAUAUGGUAUCUGUCUUUCUCUGUAUGGCUUAUUUCACUUAGCAUCAUACUCUCCAGUUCCAUCCACAUUGCUACAAAGGGCCCUAUUUCAUUCUUUCUCAUUGCCACAUAGUACUCCAUUGUGUAUAUAAACCACAAUUUCUUUAUCCAUUCAUCAGUUGAUGGACAUUUAGGCUCUUUCCAUAAUUUGGCUAUUGUUGAGAGUGCUGCUAUAAACAUUGGGGUACAAGUGCCCCUAUGCAUCAGUACUCCUGUAUCCCUUGGGUAAAUUCCUAGCAGUGCUAUUGCUGGGCAUAGGGUAGGUCUAUUUUUAAUUUUUUGAGGAACCUCCACACUGUUUUCCAGAGUGGCUGCACCAAUUUGCAUUCCCACCAACAGUGCAAGAGGGUUCCCGUUUCUCCACAUCCUCGCCAGCAUCUAUAGUCUCCUGAUUUGUUCAUUUUGGCCACUCUGACUGGCGUGAGGUGAUAUCUGAGUGUGGUUUUGAUUUGUAUUUCCCUGAUAAGGAGCAACGUUGAGCAUCUUUUCACGUGCCUGUUGGCCAUCCG
rnacentral:lncRNA from 1 species